rnacentral:tRNA from 1 species
AUUAGCCCGGUGGUCGAGUGGGUUAAGGCAGUGGACGCGAACUCCUCCGGCGUGAGUUCGAACCUCACGGCUGAAAUA